rnacentral:rRNA from 1 species
UGAGCAAUCUGCCCUUCACAUCGGAAUAACCAUUGGAAACGAUGGCUAAUACCGAAUAUGACUUCGGAUCGCAUGAUCUGAAGUGGAAAGCUCCGGCGGUGAAGGAUGAGCUCGCGGCCUAUCAGCUUGUUGGUGAGGUAAUAGCUCACCAAGGCGAUGACGGGUAGCCGGCCUGAGAGGGCGACCGGCCACACUGGGACUGAGAUACCGGCAGUA